AUCAGCCUUUCGGGUGCGAUUCUGUGGGGUUUGAGGAGCUUAACACCUUCAUGCUUUGCAUAUUCGUGCUCUUGGGUGUACUUGCCCGUGUGGUUGGUUAACAUCAAUUUUGGUGGUCAUAAAAUGACUGGAGGAAUGUAGCUUCGAUCUUGUAUUGAAGUGUUAUAGCCUUCGGUAGAUGUGAUGAUCGAGAUUGAGGAUUGCAACGGAUACCCUUCGGGGCCACCUGUCUGAUCUCUGAUCGUUGUUCUGGUGCCGAAAGCUUGCUUACGGUUAUCAAAGUCGAUGGUCAAUAGGUUAGAACGGGUUAAAUUCGUUAAGGAUGUUGACGUAAUGGCUUU
rnacentral:rRNA from 1 species